rnacentral:rRNA from 1 species
AUGGAGAAGCUGCGGGAGGAGGAGACGCCCGACGUCAUGGAGGCGUUCCAGUACACCAUGUUCUGCCUGCUCGUGCUCAUGUGCUUCGGCGAGCGCCUGGACGAGCCCGCGGUGCGCGCCAUCGAGCAGGCCGAGCGCGCCUGGCUGCUCUACAUCUCCAGGAAGCUCACCGUCUUCUUCUUCCUCCCGGCCGUCACCAAGCACCUCUUCCGCGACCGCCUCCGCGUCGCGCACGCCCUGCGGAUGCGCCAGAGGGAGCUCUUCGUGCCGCUCAUCCAUGCGCGGCGGGAGUACAAGCGGCUGGUCGGCGAGGGCCAGGCGCCGGCCAAGGAGACCACGUUCGAGCACUCGUACGUGGACACGCUGCUCGACGUCACGCUCCCCGAGGAGGGCAACCGCCCGCUGACCGACGACGAGAUCGUGGCGCUCUGCUCCGAGUUCCUCAACGCCGGCACCGACACCACCUCCACGGGGCUGCAGUGGAUCAUGGCGGAGCUGGUCAAGAACCCGGCAGUCCAGGACAAGCUCUACGACGAGAUCAAGGCCACCUGCGGAGCCGGGGAGGGGGAGGUCUCGGAGGAGAAGAUCGACGCGGUCACCAUGCCGUACCUCAAGGCGGUGAUCCUGGAGGGCCUGCGCAAGCACCCGCCGGGGCACUUCGUGCUGCCGCACAAGGCGGCGCAGGACAUGGACGUGGGCGGGUACCUGAUCCCCAAGGGCACGACGGUGAACUUCAUGGUGGCGGAGAUGGGCAGGGACGAGGGCACGUGGGACAAGGCCAUGGAGUUCGCGCCGGAGCGGUUCCUGGAGGCCGGCGAGAAGCUGGCGGCGGUGGACCUGUACGGCAGCAAGGGGAUCAAGAUGAUGCCGUUCGGCGUUGGGCGGAGGAUCUGCGCGGGGCUCAGCAUCGCCAUGCUGCACCUCGAGUACUUCGUGGCCAACAUGGUCAAGGAGUUCGAGUGGAAGGAGGUGGCCGGCCACGAGGUGGACUUCGCCGAGAAGCGCGAGUUCACCACCGUCAUGGCCAAGCCCUUGCGCCCGCGCCUUGUGCCCAGGAACUGA